rnacentral:snRNA from 1 species
GGAUGUGAAGGCGAUCUGGCUGCGACAGCUGUCACCCCAUUGAUCGCCAGGGUUGAUUCGGCUGAUCUGGCUGGCUAGGCAGGUGUCCCCUUCCUCCCUCACCGCUCCAUGUGCAUCCGUCCCGAAGCUGCGUGCGCUGGUUGAAGAGGACGACCUUGCCCCAUAGAAGGGAGACCGUCCUUCGGUCAAGGGUAUACGAGUAGCUGCACUCCCCUGCUAGCACCUCCACACAAGUCUCAAGAAGAAGACAGUCUGAUUGCUCCUUAUAAGCACGUCUCACAUAUUUUGGACAUGUUAUCAGGAAGAUAACAGUAUCUGGAG